ensembl:lncRNA
AGUCCUGGUGAUGGAAUCACCAUCUGCCAUCAUUACUGUGCUGUUCUGCCCCUCCUAGGGACAGAGCCCCAGACUGACUGCCAUCACCCUUCCCCUGAGAGAAAUGAGAGAAAUCCAUAAAGAGAGCAAAAACAGCGCUUCUCCUCUUCAACCCCAUCUCAAGGAUGUAAUUAAGGGCUCUGAGACGGAGGACCUGUGUUCCAGGCGUACUCUGAUCUGGACACAUAAAGUGUAAUCCUCCAAGCUCUCUCGGAGUCCAAGUUUUGCCCCAUGUGACCUGACAUCUGCCAGCCUCCCCAGGUCAUUGCCCAUGUUUGCUUUGCUCAGUCGGGGCCAGCCAUUCUGCCCUUCUCUUCCUCCUUUGAAGACGUCAGACCUGUUACUGCCCCACAGACAUUUGUUCUUCACCAGUGGCUCCGCCCCCAGAUCUUUGCGUGGUUUGUUACUUCAUGUCAUUCAAGGCUCACAAGUCCUGAAAGUGACCUCUUGUACCAAUCACCCCAUUUAAAGUGGCCCACGCCCCCAGCACUACUAUUACUUCAUCUAGUUUUAUUUCCUUUGUCUUCUAUCACAGUCUGAAAUGGUUCUCUGUUUAUGUGUUUACUGCCUACCUCCUUCCUCUAAAAUAUAAGUUCCAUGAGGACAGGACUCUUCUCUGCCAUGUUUGCUGCUAAUCCCGAAC